CCGGGCUCUUGCCUACAUCCAAGACAUCAACCACCUGCCACUAAGCUUGUGGUGCCAAAUCUAUCUCCAGCCUGACUCCCAGCCGCCUCCGGUUGCUUGUCCUGACCGCAGGCUCGCUGGCUUUGGCUCCCUCUCCACACAGCGGCCGGGGGGUGGGGGUGGGGGCCUGCCUCAAGUGCACCUGGUGACAGCACUCGCCUACGCCUGCACAGGAGCACGUCACCCACGUCAGAAGUCCCGAACAUUUGGAAAUGGAACUUGCUUUUCAAAUAAAUAUUUUCAACACCAAUAGAGGAAAGAAAUGAAAAGUUAUCUCAUUGGCAGGUGGAUGUGUUUACAGAAGCCAAAACAAUAGGAAUGGAGUUCUUCGCCCUGUCACGUGGUUGGCUGUGGAGACAUGUAUUUAAUCCUGGAUAGUAAGAUAUGUUCAUCUACUUUCUGAAAGGAAAGAGGAGAAAAUACAUUUUUUUUUUUAAAGUCUCCAGUUCUUUGUUCAUUUUGUCAGUCUGUGAGAGGCGGAAACUCUUCUCUGGGCCAUGACAGCGUCCGCUCCCUCCCUCAGCACCCUGAGAAAUUUCAGUAUGUUUUGAGAUUCCUCACCAUUAAACCCUUGUCAAUUGCUAUGCUUUCAAAUUCUCUGAGUUCUUGGAAAUUCUCACAUCUCUAUUUAUAAAAGCAGGAUUCUUCGAUAAAUUAAUAGCAUAAAAAAGUGAAGGGGUAUUGUUCUAAAUUG